GGAGAUUUUCAGUUUCAUUUUGCACAUCUUCAUGGACUGUGGAUCCGGGACAUGUUCAGAGGUCCCUUGGCUCUGUGCUCUCCAGAAGGUCCGACACUCCUAUUCCCUCCUGUGGGGCAGCAAGGCCUCUUCUCUUUGCGUUCCUCUCCCUGCACUGGGGAGAUUUGGUUGCAACUCCAGGGAUGCCUGGGAAAUCGUGGGAACAGGGAAGAAAUUCGUUUACUUUCUGAAGAGAAUGAGUAGAUUUCUCUUACUGUCUCAUCAAACAAGCCAGCCUGGGAUUUGCUGCCUAAGGAACCUUGUGUCUUGCUUGGGCUGCCCAGGUAGUGCUAGUGGUAAAGAACCCACCUGCCAAUGCAGCAGACUUAAGAGAUGCAGGUUCGAUCCCUGGGUUGGGAAGAUUCCCUGGAGGAGGGCAUGGCAACCAACUUCAGUAUUCUUGCCUGGAGAAUCCCCCUGGACAGAGGAGCCUGGCAGAUAAUGUCCAUAGGAUCACAAAGAGUCAGACACAACUGAAGUGACUUAGCAUGCAUGCAUGUGUCUUGCUUGCAUCAGAGAAAUGUGUAAACAGAAAAAUUUGAAAAUGAGAUAUUGAUAGUCCUGUGUAAUAUAACACAAGCAGAAAACAAGAUUUACUCCCAAAGCCAUUUCUUUUGUUCCACAUGCAUGCAGCCCACCCGGGUAAUCCAAACCUGUACACACACCGUCCCAUCUGCUUUUAGACGUGGGGGUCAGACUAGUUCCUCCAGCAGAGGUUGUCAGCAAACCCUUCUUCCCAGUCUGCCCCUUGUCAUCCCAGAUUGUGGUUAGACAUGUACCUUCUAGCCAUGGAUUUGGAUGGAAAACUGUUAAAUAAAAAUGAUAAUCAUUAAUGUCA
ensembl:lncRNA